AUCGAGUAGGGCGGGACACGUGAUAUCCUGUCUGAAUAUGGGGGGACCAUCCUCCAAGGCUAAAUACUCCUGACUGACCGAUAGUGAACCAGUACCGUGAGGGAAAGGCGAAAAGAACCCCUGUGAGGGGAGUGAAAUAGAACCUGAAACCGUGUACGUACAAGCAGUAGGAGCACCUUCGUGGUGUGACUGCGUACCUUUUGUAUAAUGGGUCAGCGACUUAUAUUCAGUGGCAAGGUUAACCGUAUAGGGGAGCCGUAGCGAAAGCGAGUCUUAACUGGGCGCUCAGUCUCUGGAUAUAGACCCGAAACCGGGUGAUCUAGCCAUGGGCAGGUUGAAGGUUGAGUAACAUCAACUGGAGGACCGAACCGACUAAUGUUGAAAAAUUAGCGGAUGACUUGUGGCUAGGGGUGAAAGGCCAAUCAAACUCGGAGAUAGCUGGUUCUCCCCGAAAGCUAUUUAGGUAGCGCCUCGGACGAAUACUACUGGGGGUAGAGCACUGUUAAGGCUAGGGGGUCAUCCCGACUUACCAACCCUUUGCAAACUCCGAAUACCAGUAAGUACUAUCCGGGAGACACACGGCGGGUGCUAACGUCCGUCGUGGAGAGGGAAACAACCCAGACCGCCAGCUAAGGUCCCAAAGUAUUGCUAAGUGGGAAACGAUGUGGGAAGGCUCAGACAGCUAGGAUGUUGGCUUAGAAGCAGCCAUCAUUUAAAGAAAGCGUAAUAGCUCACUAGUCGAGUCGGCCUGCGCGGAAGAUGUAACGGGGCUAAGCAAUACACCGAAGCUGCGGCAAUAUCUUUUAGAUAUUGGGUAGGGGAGCGUUCUGUAAGCCGUUGAAGGUGAAUCGUAAGGUUUGCUGGAGGUAUCAGAAGUGCGAAUGCUGACAUGAGUAACGACAAAGGGGGUGAAAAACCUCCUCGCCGGAAGACCAAGGGUUCCUGUCCAACGUUAAUCGGGGCAGGGUGAGUCGACCCCUAAGGUGAGGCCGAAAGGCGUAAUCGAUGGGAAACGGGUUAAUAUUCCCGUACUUCUGACUAUUGCGAUGGGGGGACGGAGAAGGCUAGGUGGGCCAGGCGACGGUUGUCCUGGUUCAAGUGCGUAGGCUUGAGAGUUAGGUAAAUCCGGCUCUCUUUAAGGCUGAGACACGACGUCGAGCUGCUACGGCAGUGAAGUCAUUGAUGCCAUGCUUCCAGGAAAAGCCUCUAAGCUUCAGAUAGUCAGGAAUCGUACCCCAAACCGACACAGGUGGUCGGGUAGAGAAUACCAAGGCGCUUGAGAGAACUCGGGUGAAGGAACUAGGCAAAAUGGUACCGUAACUUCGGGAGAAGGUACGCUCUUGAUGGUGAAGUCCCUCGCGGAUGGAGCUGACGAGAGUCGCAGAUACCAGGUGGCUGCAACUGUUUAUUAAAAACACAGCACUGUGCAAAAUCGCAAGAUGACGUAUACGGUGUGACGCCUGCCCGGUGCCGGAAGGUUAAUUGAUGGGGUUAGCGCAAGCGAAGCUCUUGAUCGAAGCCCCGGUAAACGGCGGCCGUAACUAUAACGGUCCUAAGGUAGCGAAAUUCCUUGUCGGGUAAGUUCCGACCUGCACGAAUGGCGUAAUGAUGGCCACGCUGUCUCCACCCGAGACUCAGUGAAAUUGAAAUCGCUGUGAAGAUGCAGUGUACCCGCGGCUAGACGGAAAGACCCCGUGAACCUUUACUACAGCUUGGCACUGAACAUUGAACCUACAUGUGUAGGAUAGGUGGGAGGCUAUGAAGACGUGACGCCAGUUGCGUUGGAGCCGUCCUUGAAAUACCACCCUUGUAUGUUUGAUGUUCUAACUUAGACCCAUUAUCUGGGUUGAGGACAGUGCCUGGUGGGUAGUUUGACUGGGGCGGUCUCCUCCCAAAGAGUAACGGAGGAGCACGAAGGUGGGCUAAUCACGGUUGGACAUCGUGAGGUUAGUGCAAUGGCAUAAGCCCGCUUAACUGCGAGAAUGACGGUUCGAGCAGGUGCGAAAGCAGGUCAUAGUGAUCCGGUGGUUCUGUAUGGAAGGGCCAUCGCUCAACGGAUAAAAGGUACUCCGGGGAUAACAGGCUGAUACCGCCCAAGAGUUCAUAUCGACGGCGGUGUUUGGCACCUCGAUGUCGGCUCAUCACAUCCUGGGGCUGAAGUCGGUCCCAAGGGUAUGGCUGUUCGCCAUUUAAAGUGGUACGCGAGCUGGGUUUAGAACGUCGUGAGACAGUUCGGUCCCUAUCUGCCGUGGGCGUUGGAAGAUUGAAGGGGGCUGCUCCUAGUACGAGAGGACCGGAGUGGACGAACCUCUGGUGUUCGGGUUGUGUCGCCAGACGCAUUGCCCGGUAGCUAAGUUCGGAAUUGAUAAGCGCUGAAAGCAUCUAAGCGCGAAGCGAGCCCUGAGAUGAGUCUUCCCUGACAGUUUAACUGUCCUAAAGGGUUGUUCGAGACUAGAACGUUGAUAGGCAGGGUGUGUAAGCGUUGUGAGGCGUUGAGCUAACCUGUACUAAUUGCCCGUGAGGCUUAACCA
rnacentral:rRNA from 1 species